GAGAAAUCCAAGCUAAUACCGCAUAAUACCUUCGGGUUAAAGAGGGGGAUCUUCGGACCUCUCGCUUAUGGAUGGUCCCGCGUCUGAUUAGCUAGUUGGUAGGGUAAUGGCCUACCAAGGCAAUGAUCAGUAGCUGGUCUGAGAGGAUGAUCAGUCACACUGGAACUGAGACACGGUCCAGACUCCUACGGGAGGCAGCAGUGGGGAAUUUUGCACAAUGGGCGAAAGCCUGAUGCAGCGACGCCGCGUGCGGGAAGAAGGCCUUCGGGUUGUAAACCGCUUUCAACAGGGAAGAAGGAAUGAGAGCUAAUACCUCUCUGCCUUGACGGUACCUGUAGAAGAAGCACCGGCUAAUUUCGUGCCAGCAGCCGCGGUAAUACGAAAGGUGCAAGCGUUGUUCGGAUUUACUGGGCGUAAAGAGAUCGUAGGUGGCUUGUUAAGUCGGAUGUGAAAUCCCGGGGCUCAACCCCGGAACUGCAUCCGAUACUGGCAGGCUUGAGUUUGGGAGGGGUAAGCGGAAUUCCGUGUGUAGCAGUGAAAUGCGUAGAUAUACGGAGGAACACCUGAGGCGAAGGCGGCUUACUGGACCAAUACUGACACUGAGGAUCGAAAGCGUGGGUAGCAAACAGGAUUAGAUACCCUGGUAGUCCACGCCCUAAACGAUGUCAACUAGCCGUUGCGGGUAU
rnacentral:rRNA from 1 species